UACAGAGGUCUCAAGCGUUGUUCGGAUUCAUUGGGCGUAAAGGGCGCGUAGGCGGCGCGUUAAGUCGGGUGUGAAAUCUCGGGGCUUAACUCCGAAACUGCAUUCGAUACUGCCGUGCUUGAGGACUGGAGAGGAGACUGGAAUUUACGGUGUAGCAGUGAAAUGCGUAGAUAUCGUAAGGAAGACCAGUGGCGAAGGCGGGUCUCUGGACAGUUCCUGACGCUGAGGCACGAAGGCCAGGGGAGCAAACGGG
rnacentral:rRNA from 1 species